CUACGGGUUGCUGCAGUGGGGAAUAUUGCACAAUGGGCGCAAGCCUGAUGCAGCCAUGCCGCGUGUAUGAAGAAGGCCUUCGGGUUGUAAAGUACUUUCAGCGGGGAGGAAGGGAGUAAAGUUAAUACCUUUGCUCAUUGACGUUACCCGCAGAAGAAGCACCGGCUAAGUCCGUGCCAGCAGCCGCGGUAAUACGGAGGGUGCAAGCGUUAAUCGGAAUUACUGGGCGUAAAGCGCACGCAGGCGGUUUGUUAAGUCAGAUGUGAAAUCCCCGGGCUCAACCUGGGAACUGCAUCUGAUACUGGCAAGCUUGAGUCUCGUAGAGGGGGGUAGAAUUCCAGGUGUAGCGGUGAAAUGCGUAGAGAUCUGGAGGAAUACCGGUGGCGAAGGCGGCCCCCUGGACGAAGACUGACGCUCAGGUGCGAAAGCGUGGGGAGCAAACAAGAUUAGAUACCCGGGUAGUC
rnacentral:rRNA from 1 species